GGGAAACUGGCAAGGCUCUUCGGAGGGGAAGGAAAUUCAGAGCCUGUGAAAUCCUCCAGCUCUCUACAAACUAAAAGAAGCACCGUUCUGCCUCCCCCGCUGCCGCCCCCCGCAAGUCUGGUGGUUCCUCUGCCUAAACUGCAUAAAAAUCUUCCUUUCUGAUUUCCUGCAACACCUCCUCUGGUCCAUUCUGCUGAGAAGAGGGAGACCUUUCUUCCCACCCGCCUGAUCGCCCACCCACCCAGAGCUUCUUGGUCUCCAGGCCCCCUUUAUUCUGCUUCCCAGGAGGGGUUGAUGCUGGCAUUGGUCCAACCAGAAGGCUGCGGGAUGCCUAGUGGAUGGUACAGGCCGCCUAUCUAGCCAGUGGCCACUCUAGGCUUGGACUGCAGUGUUACAGCCCCUUCCUGUGUAUGCUUACUCAGAAGUAAGUCCCACUGGGUUCAACGCGGUGUACUACCAGGUUUUAGCUGGAGCAGCCAGCCUAAGCGCAUCCUGAUUUGUGGCCACAGCAUCAUUUUCUGGGCCCCUUGCAGGACUAGGGAAUCCGGCCUGGGUUCGCAGCUCGGCCUUAGUUGGAUUGUUUGCAUUGAUUGGGCUGGCAGGCAUGGUGUGGUAUGGAGCCAGCUUCUCCCAGUUCUGCUGCAGUGGUAGCACGGUGGCUUCCUGCCCCAAGUCUUAUUAGUUCACCUUGAAGAGAAUGUAGAGCCAGUGUGGCGUAGCGGUUAAGGUGUUGGACUACAACCUGGGAGACCACGGUUCAAAUCCCCACACAGCCAUGAAGCUCACUGGGUGACCUUGGGCCAGUCCCUGCCUCUCAGCCUCAUGAAAACCCUAUUCAUAGGGUCACCAUAAGUCGGAAUCGACUUGAAGGCAGUACAUUUACAUUUAUUUACAUUUUGAAAAGAAUGACCUGUUUGUCAGGUAGAGCUUGUCCGCUUCCAGGCUGAAAAGGAGUUUGCUUCCAUCCAUUCUGCCUUCCCAGGGGUUAGAAUCAUCUGGUCUGACAUGCUUCAGCACAGACUAGGGACGUAUGGUGCCCCUAAGCAGAUGGAUGAAGCCAGGAGGAAGGGGAAUUGUUCCUGGAGGCGUGCUCUGCUGGCUGGUUGGGAUGGGUUCAUUCUUCCAUUCAGACAUCAUACACUCCUUGCCGCACCUGUACAGGGAUGAUGGAGUGUACGUCUCUGAUGAGGGGCACGACACCUUCCUUGAAGAUCUGCAGCAGGGUAUCAGGCAUCCCCCUUGCCUCUGGUGGAGCAUGAGGUGAUCUAAGCAAGGGCUAGGCCCCCUCCAUGACAGGGUCAGUACAGGGUUAGGCAAAAAGGGGGUAAGUGGAAAGUUGAUGAGAACCUUGAAGCACCUUCUAUAUGAUGAAAGGGCGCUUCCUCAGAACUAUCCAUCAAAGCCUCAAGGCCAGAUGGUGGGGACAGGAGCCCUCCUUGAGGACUGCCCAGAUCACAGGCUUAGUACCUCAAGGCUGGAGCGGAGGGUGAGAUGGACAGAAUUCCCUACACACAGUUAAUGUGCCAGCAAUGAAAGGCCAGGAGUAGAUAGUUCAUACCACUCUGGGGCCUUGAGCCAAAGUAGCUCACUCAAAAAUCCGAGAGGCUGGUUUAAGUUUCAUUGCACUUAGAUUUAUGGGAGCCUGCACUGAGCAUUAACAAAGUUUCCCUUUGCAGAUCUUAAUUUGGAUAAUGGGCUUAAUUGCUUUCAUUUAUUAUUCAUUUAAUUGGCUGAA